UGACCAAGACCAAGUCAAGCAGGAAUUCUGGCAUGGUAUGUGGCUGCACGGAGGAUUCCGAAAAAGAAAAACAACAACAUGGCUAAUAGGAUGUUGCUGCCCAGGGAGUCCUGGCGAAGAGGUUUACUCAUUCCAGAAGCAAGAAUUGUAUCAUUGUAAGGCGAAUGGAAAUAAACUGACAUCGACUGAGA